AAAUGCAGCAAUAGGUUUAGUGAGGAUGGAUGACUGCCAACUUCUUUCCAUUUUCUUACUGGACAUUAAAUCAGAUUAUGCCCCAGUCUCCCAUGCAAAUAGAUGCAACCAUGUAACAGAGUUGUGGCCAACGGAAUGGGCAGAAGUAACAUGGGCCCUGCCAGCUGCUGCUGCCCCCGAGACAGUAAGACCGACUCCUCCUCUUUCUCCUCCUCUUCAUCCUACUCUAUGUGAAGACAAGAAUGAAGAUCUUUGUGAUGAUCCACUUCCAAUGAAUGAUUACUAAGAGUAUCCACAUGACCUGGACCUGGGUGAGUGGGUCCUAGAAAAAUUUUUGCUUUCUUACUACUCUUCCUUCUUCUCACUGGAAUGUAAAUGUAAAGGGUGGAGCUCAGCAGCCAUCUUGCUAUCACAAAAGAAAGACUGAGAGAACAGCAAAAGAGUUGACCUUAAUGUUGUUGAACCACUGAAUCAAUGCUGUAAACAAUCUAUCUCCAAAAUUCUUGGUAUGUGAGAAACUAAACUACUGUUUAUUUAAGUUGGGUUGUCUGUUU
rnacentral:lncRNA from 1 species